AAGAGAUCUAAAAGUAAUGCAAAAAGAAGAGACGUGUGUAUGUCCUAAGAGAAGAAAAAAAAGAGGAUAAAUGCACUUGCUGAGACUUAAAGACUCUAACACCUGUAAAAUGCUCACAGAGAAUUGAGUUAAAAAGAAUAAAAAGUGAAUAAACCCCCAGAGUUAUGAGUUAAGCACGAAAAGAAAAAAAGAGAAAAUCAAACAACAUGAAUGUCGAGUUCAAAAC
rnacentral:lncRNA from 1 species